CUGUGAUGGGUUAGCAGUAGUACCGGUACAGUAGACAAACCUUCAGCGUCUGACACAAUUUUGUAUACUAAUUUUUGUUUCAGUUUUAUGGACCUGUAGAUUCAUACAAGAAUAAUGCAACUUUUUUUGAAAACUGUGCUAUCAGGCUACAAGAGCACAAACACUCAAACCACAAUUGACAACACUGGACCAUAACCUUGACUAUGAUUUUUUUACUUUUUUUGUCACCAUACCUGCAGAUGUGCAAUAUCCUUGCAACUGUGCCUCCACAUCAGAUGCGGCUCUCAGCAGUACUUCGUCACUGACAUUGAUCAACGAUAGAUAUUGGCGAAGUAAAUGAGAAUAUACACUAAUACCGGUGUUAACUUCCCAACCAUCUAGAAUGACAUUGAGGUGGCUGGUGCCCUCAAGGAUGACGGUGCUGGUGAACUGUGCAGCGCCCGUCUGUCCUGCCUCUUGUGGACAGACAUGGUGUAGUAGGUUUCCCUUGUUGGCAUCAGCUACAUGUAGAUACUGCUAACUGAGCAGCAGCACAGUAACCUGGAAGAAAAUGCCAUGAACUCCAGCAUUUGAUCCAUGUUUCAAACCUUGAAAGAAAACAGGUAAGCGGGUAAACCUUGUAGUAGUAAUUUGGAUAUCACAGGCCAAGGGUUCAAUGUCUACCCCUAAUAUUAUGCUAUUUUAAAGUGUCAGAAAGGGGUAUGUACAGCAUUUCAUGUGUUAUGACUCGCAUGUUACUGUAUAGGCUACAUGUAGGGAUACUCCUCAUGUAUAUUAUAGGAAUCUCCAUUAAACCUCCUGCUAUUUAAACAUUCAUAGACAGUCAAAGUUUCUAUGCACUUCCCCUGCUAUACUUUUAACACAGGCUAGUCACCAGCAGUCAGAUCAUAUCAAGCAAGUAAUGCAACUAAUCAAAGUCAGUCAACAGACCAUGAACAGACAAAGCAGGCAAGUUGUUGGCACAGCUGGCUUAUCAAUCACCCGGAGUCAAAUGCAUUAUAGCAGUCCCAGCCGACUGCCAGUGGGCUGGGAAUUCUUGCCUGUAAUAUAAAAACAGUCACUUGAUUGAUUUUGAGUGAAAGGACUACUUGGCACAGAAUGUAUGUUUGCAGGAGGGUUAAAUACUUGAGACAGUUAACCAGUUCCCAGUGGUCGAGAGCCUGUCACAUUGGUGGUUUAUGAAACACAGGCCAAGAAUUAAAGGUGGCACCCAAAUCAGGCAAAAUACACAGUGGCUAUUACGGCUUUAGUGAGAUUCCUUUUGGACCCUGCUCCAAAACAUCACAUCUACCGGUAGAAUUACCAAACUACACUUGCCUACAUGCACAUGUACACGUAAAUGUACAAAUAGGGCCAAGGUAUAUAUACUCAGACUCAAAUAACAAAAACACAUGUAAUUACUCGCAGGUUUGAAUUUAUGCCACAGUCACUUGAAACUUUUAAUUCAUUCCAAUUAUUCCACAUUCAUAACUGUGCCGGAUACCGAUGAUUGGGCAAACCGGUCACAUCAAUUUGUACAUGGGACACACACCCAUGAUUUUGAACACUACUGAGUGAUCAAAAUACACUAACCACUGGCACCACAGAGCGCACAGACCCAAGACUUAGCUGGGUACAGAGCCGAAGCUACAAAAUACAACCACUGGCACCACAGAGUGCACAGACCCAAGACUUAGCUGGGUACAGAGCCGAAGCUACAAAAUACAACCACUGGCACCACAGAGUGCACAGACCCAAGACUUAGCUGGGUACAGAGCCGAAGCUACAAGGUACAAAACACAGACCCAAAACUUUAGCUGGGUACAGAGCCGAAGCUACAAGGUACAUGCAUGUACCUGUAAACCAAAACAAGUGGUUAUAGGCCAUAUCCAUGUUCAUCAAUAAGACAUCAUAUUAAAAAGUUGCAUUUCCACUGAUGUAAAAUUCAGUCAGAAACCUAGCCCCAUGAGACUCGCGAGCGCUAUUGCAACUGUACAAUAUUAGAACAUCAACAAGAAUUGUAAGUGAACAAAUGUCUCUUAACCAUGAGAAUGGGGGAAAUGGCUGCCUAAACCCGCCAUUCCUUCGUAAUUAUUUCAGAUAGUAAAGAGCAAACAAGACGUGGCAGGGUUAAGGAGAUGGUGGAGGGGAACAUUUAAUGCACAAAAUGAAGUCUGAUCCUGCUGUCUCAAUGACUGUGACAAAAGUGAGCACAGCCCACUUACAGCCCAACUUGGGCCAUCACUUCACUAAGCAACAUAAGACAAAACAAACUUUUUCAUUGGUUCAAAGUUGGUCUAUACAUUGGCAUAUUGAAAUCUCUCACUGGCAUACCAAAUAUGGUAAUGGAGUGCAGCUGUUACACAAUGACCAAGACGUUAGUGCGAGAAAGGUGCUACAGAACAUUGCAACUAUCGCUCUUGAUCCCGGAUGUCUUGGGCCAAGACUAUGUGAUAAGCAACUCAGUGGUCAUUCUGGUUGUUGUUUGUACCCCUCGUUUCUGAUGGCGGCAGUAAAGAGAUGUUGUUGCCUUCUCUUCAUUACUUUGCAGCUUGCAGCUUCUUAAGGUCAAUGUUGUCCUUCUUGAAAAUAGCUGCAAACAGCCCAACAUGAAAGUUCCUUUCCGAGGAUGUGAUUCUGUUGUGGCAUACCAUUCCAAUACUGAAUGAAAUGCCAGAUAUCAAGGCAAACGAUUAUGUCCAGUAGCUAUGGGAUACUUACAUUUCUAUUCCCAGAUACACAACAAUUGUACAAUAGAGUAGUUGAGGUGGGCUUUCACCUGUCUCCGUGUAGUGCUUGAAGAUGCCCUAUGCCAUCAUCAAUCCUGCACCCUCAUACUCUGUAAGUAUCAAGAUCAGCACCUGGCCAUAUUCAUUCCUACAUGUACAUUUGUUGUCCAUGCUGCCAUACCAGCUGCUUGGUUAGCUAUCAUCUUUGUCACCUAUAAAU